rnacentral:lncRNA from 1 species
UAAUACAUGAAACCUGAUACAGAGACAUAAUUGGGUGAUCCAAGCAUAUACCAGAGCUGAAUCUUAUGAUAGGUAGUUUCUGUUGCCACAAGUAAUUCCUGCUAUGUCUCUUUAUGAGUUAUGAAUAUUUGUAACCUGUAACAUUUUGUACAAAGCAAUCUCAAGUUAUGAAAUGAACAUGUCAGACUUGCAUGCAAUGGAUUAAUUUAGCAGUCAGCUUGGUGUCAUAUGGAUGAAUUUAUUUACUAGUCCAAGCAUUUCUUAUUUUUCAUGGAUAUAAGUAUGAUAAUGGUGCUAAUGAUAGAUAUAAGACACGGAUUAGCCUCUUGGCUUUGUCGUAUUGCUCAAGUGACAAUGUACUGCUGACUCAUAGUUGUCGUUCCAAAGCAAAGUUCAUUCUUUGAGAGAUCAAAUUUUGAAAUUUUACAUUUUAUACUGUAUUCUUUCAAUUUUUCUUUUCUGAUAAUGUCGAUUUUUGUUGGAAAGUGUAUCUUGGCAUUCAAUUAUAUUGAUAGUGUAUCUUGUUAUCCUUCCUUAUUGAUCUCCUGA